AUUUAAAUUAAUUUCUGUAGUUGCGAUUUUUUCGUGUCAUUUUACGCAAAGCUAGACAGCCAGAUAUUAUUUUACUAAAGUUUAUAAUUAUCACUGAAAUUUCUGUUCCAUAAUAUUUUAGUUUCGCGCGUUUUGGAAACUCAAAAAAACGUUUGUUUUGAAUUUUUUAUCAUUUCAUGCCAUCUAGGUUUGAUUCAUUAAACCUUGUGUUGGCUUACCAGCGGCCAUUUUCUUUCAACAGUUUUUCACGUUGACACAUCAACACAGUGCACGGUACACACCAAGCUUUCACGUAAAAUGAAGAAGUAAAAAUUCCUUUCCAGCUCCAGUCUUCACAAAAACGAUGAGGCCCAUGUGAGCAAACAUGUGCUGUGUUAUGAACAUAUGCCAUAUGGAGUUGAUUCACUUUCUUCUCCUGGACAUGCGGAGGACCUUAAUGGACAAUUUCAGCUUCAAUCUUUGAUAACGACAGGUAAGAAACGGUAAAGUUUUGAGCACGCCCUUGUGGAUAUCAACCAGCAAAGGAGAACUCGGGCGACAAGAAAAGUUUGGCCGUGGUGUUAUGGUCUUACUCGUCAAAGACAUUGCCACGCCCAGUACCGUAAAAGUACGACGGUGAGCAAUCCUUGCCUCAACAGCUCAUGCACUCCCUUCUGUGUCCUUAUUCCGGGCGGAUAUCCUUGCUCCUGCCUCGACAGCACGAUCCUGGUUCAAUCUGUCGGAGAAAUUUCGUGGGACGCGACUGAGGAACGAACUCGACCGUCUCCUUUUGCGCUGCCCUUGCCAGAAUCGCGGGGUCUGCACCGGUGACGGCCAAGUCCAAAGUUAGAGUGCCCCAACGAUUAUACGAAGGCGUCCAUUGCGAGACCCACUUGUUGCACCGUCCCACUUCAUCCGAAAGUCUGGCGCCAGCUUAGAUCGUCGUCCCUAUUCUGCUCAUCAUCCUCGCCGGAUCGGCCAGUGCCACCGUUAACGUAUUCUUCUUCCGACGAUCCGGCCGGGGCCAAAGGCUCUGGGCUUUACCGGAUUCAGCUAAAAAGUCCCAGCGUCUCCUUCCGGCUCCAACGACGAACUCCGUAUCAUACAAACAGCUCUAGUGCCUCCAAGCUAUGGAACCGGUGGAUUCUGAAUUCAAUGGUCGUGACGCCUCGAUUGAAUUGCGUGAUUUCUUCAACGUGGAUGGACCUGUGGAUGCUCCCGAGGUUGGCAUCUAACAAGUCCCGACAGAAAUGAUUCGAGGUAAAAUUGUUGACCCAGCAGUUGACCAAUUUCAAAGAAUUUCGAAAUUUGAACUUGAAUUUGCUGAAAUUAAAUUUUCUCAUGUACUUAGAGUUGUCACGUGCAUUUGGGUUCGCUCUGAAUGAACAGUGGUAUAGUCAGUGACAAGAAACCUCGUAUCUCUUUACCCACACCCCCUCACAACCAACCCCCACACCUCAAGAACAAGUGUGAAAACUAUAACAGCCACUGUAGCCUGUUGUUACUUUUGAAACGAUUGAGCGACAUCCUUCUGCAGCAGUCAGUCAGUCAAGUGGGUGUAGUGGUUUCUGUUAUCGUGUGGAUAUUCUACAUCAGAUGAUCUUAAUUCCUGACUGGGCUGUAUCCAAAUUUGAUCACCGGCCCGUAGAUGCAGCGUUGAUCGGAGAGAGUAGAGCCGUCGGUACUUCAUUCAAACUUGAGUCAUGGACAUUUAAGUUUUUUCGCCCAAUUGGUUUGCUGUUCCUCCUUGUCGAAGUGUGGCCCGUUCCUUUUGAUCGAAACAAAAUGCUGGGGUAGCGAAAGAAUCUGGGUUCAAGUUUGGGUUGAACUUUGGCUUAUCCCAUCAGGUUAGAUUAAAAAGCCUUGGUUAAAUGCAUUAUAGGUUUCAUCAGCGAUUUGAUUAUUUCAUUUACCAUUUGUAACACCUGCGGCUUCGUCCGGCAAUUGAUUUAGUCCGGCCAAAGUUUCAUUUCAUUAUUGGCAGGCAUGGCAGCAAUGUCUUUAUUCCGUUGUAACACCUGCGCAAAUGUGAAAAGAAUUUGGUUUUUGAUUGGUUAUUGCUACUCGCCAUUCAAAUUCACCGAUAUCGCCUACUCAAUAUUAAUAUUAUUCGAUAAGUUUUCGAUGAGAGAUAUAACAAAAGAGUAAUGAAAACAAAGCUCACGUCGAAAAAAAUAAAAAGUAGGUUAAUAAAAUAGAGGUUUAGGGCAACUUGUCUCUCAUUGGUUGUCGUUCCGCCGUCUUUUGAUUCUUCACUAGCAUAUGGUAAAACUUUGAAAGGGGAAAAUUUAAUUAAAUGAUUUCUAUUGAUAUGUACGCAAACCCGAAAAGGCGAAAACGCAUCUUGAUAUCCAAAUUUCCCCCAAAGUUUCCCCCUAAACCUUCUCGCUCUACUUCAAGUUUAAACGCGAUCCUGGUUGCUUGUUCUAAGACAAUCGCCGACAAAGUUGCAUCAUAAUCAUUAAAUCAAUUAAAUCAUGGCCAUUUUUUUCACGACGUGUGUUAAAAUUUUACUAGGAUCGAUUUACACCAGAUUCAAUGUCUGGUGAUCAUCCACUGAAAUUAAAACCAUUUUCUUUGUCAAUAACAUCUAGGGGAGAGUGGGUGAAUGGGAUAAGGUGUCGAUUAGGUAGAGGAGAGGUGCACCUUGAGACCAGGGGUUCAAACCCCCUGGAGAGCAUUGUUGGUUGCUCGUACAUCCGCUCUGGCGCCACUGUGGCGUCACAUGCAGGAUUAUCUAACCCCGUGCUGGAGAGGGAACUCUGCGCUUAUGGACGUGCCAUUCUGUCUGAUGGCAAAAUUGUGCGAAUAGGAAGGAUGUUGUUAAAUCUCUUCAUUCGAAACAUGUAAUAAGCAUUGUACAUCAAUCCGACAUCAUUGAAAGGCUGGUCUUUGACGCUGCCAAGACUUGGGAAUUGACGACUCGAUGAGAAUCAAUCAAAGAUAAAACUUAUUGAAAUUUAUUAGCCAACUGAUUUUGGGAAUCGACAACUCGGAACCGAACACAAGGCCAAACUUCCGUCUAGCAAAUUUCGGGGCGACCGACUCGCAUCGCACGUCGAGGAAAAAUUCUCUUCAUUCUGCUGUUCUAGAUGAUUUGGAGUGGUCCUUAAUCAUUCGUACCUUAUUGAUGGCGCCUUUUCACAAAAUCAAUUCAGUCCAAGCAAAGCAUCUGCCGUUUGGAUUAGAAUUUCCUUUCGUUUUUUCUGAAACACGUGGCCUGAAUUAAACAAAACCAGCAGAGCAACAAGAUUCGUCAUCCGUGUCUAACUACAGCUGUGGCUAAUAUCCAUCGAUGAAGAACUCUCCUUUGAAGAAAUAAUGCGGGUAUGUUAGAAUGAUAUGAUAGAUUGACAUCGCUGGGCCCACUGGUGUUUUGGCAACUCCAUCAGAGUCAUUGACGUCAUUACACACUGGUCGUUUCUCAACGGGCCCCUGCAAGAUAACGAUUUACAUCACAAUUGGAACCUACUUAUGGGGAAAUCUGCAGGAAUUGAGACGAGUUUAUUCGGCCAGAAUAAAUUUGCGGCCCAGGAAACAUUGCACCAUAUCAUCCAAUCGUUCUUAUCGAGCUUGUUUUUAUGGGGACAGUGGUGUGAAUUGUGCAAGGUUAACGGUUCAUCAACAAGAAGAUUAGAAAAAAGCGGUUGAUUCACUUUCUUCUCCUGGACAUGCGGAGGACCUAAAUGGACAAUUUCAGCUUCAAUCUUUGAUAACGACAGUCAGAGGAAACGUGAAAGUCGUGCAGCCUACCGUCAACUAUUUUGUUCAAACUCAUUGUAUUCUAGUGAAUGUGUCAUCGAAAUGAUACAGGAUUCAUCAUAAUUGUCUGCUGUUUGUAUUGAACUUGCUAGAUCACCGACUCCAGCAUGGACCAAUCUCUCAUUCCAUCUUUUAGAGAAUCUUUGAUAUGAUUGGUGGUUUCAUGUGUUUCUAAAUUGGCAUGACUGACUUUAUGAGAAGUUAAGAUUCCUUGUUUGCUGACCCGCUGGCUACUAUGCUACCUUGCAGUCCUUGCUACCCUUGAAUCUCCCUAUUUGUCAACAACAAAAAAAGAGUUUAAAUAUUGUGAUCAUGCUAUCAUAGUUGUGUUUACAUUGAAUUUAGAGAAGUUGUAAUACUAAUAGCAAUUUUAAUGAUUGUUUGGUUUCUUAUUUAGAUGUUGCCUAUUAAGACCAAAUGUGAGGCAUCUGGUUAAGUGGUUAUCCCUCCAAAAUAAGGCAAUGACCACACGUUCAACGCGGAUCAUUCGUUUUGUCAUCGAACUUGACUAAUUCCAUCUUCUGGAUUGCUUAGGAAAGCUGAUUGGUGUUCUUCAUCGUAAUGACCGAGAAGAUGCGGCCUACAUGAACAUCAUUUAGACGGCCAGCAUCAUUCGACUGCCCAACCGACUUCUACUACCCUGCUCUCAACACAGCACGGAGUUUUACCCUUUAGAUUUUUGGCUGUUCGCGAUGUGUGAUGGCGUUUCCUUGGGAUGAUGAUUUUGGCGAGAAAAAUGUUGCGUUCUAACCUUCAGAUUCCUAAAUAUGAAAAGUAAUGUUCUUUCAAGAAAGUCAACGAGGUCCCUUGCUCCCUUGUUUGCUAACCCAAUGGCUGCUACCCUUCAAUCUCCCUAUUUUAGCUCCUUACACAGUCCCCAGGGAAUCCUUCGCUACUGAUCAUGGACUCCAUUGGUGAAACUGAAAACCGAC